AACGAACGCUGGCGGCAUGCCUAACACAUGCAAGUCGAGCGCCCGAGCGAUCCGGGAGCGGCGCACGGGUGAGUAACGCGUGGGAACCUGCCCUUAGGUUCGGGACAACCGCGGGAAACUGCGGCUGAUACCGGAUGAUGCCCGAGGUGGAAACGCUUUGGGCCAAAGAUUUAUCGCCUUUGGAGGGGCCCGCGUCGGAUUAGGUAGUUGGUGGGGUAACGGCCCACCAAGCCUUUCGAUCCGUAGCNGGUCUGAGAGGAUGGCCAGCCACACUGGGACUGAGACACGGCCCAGACUCCUACGGGAGGGCAGCAGUGGGGAGUAUUGGACAAUGGGGGCAACCCUGAUCCAGCAAUGCCGCGUGGGUGAUGAAGGCCUU
rnacentral:rRNA from 1 species